GAUCCUGGCUCAGGACGAACGCUGGCGGCGCGCCUAACACAUGCAAGUCGAACGAGAGAUGAAGAGCUUGCUCUUCAAAUCGAGUGGCGAACGGGUGAGUAACGCGUGAGGAACCUGCCUCAAAGAGGGGGACAACAGUUGGAAACGACUGCUAAUACCGCAUAAGCCCACGGCUCGGCAUCGAGCAGAGGGAAAAAGAGUGAUCCGCUUUGAGAUGGCCUCGCGUCCGAUUAG
rnacentral:rRNA from 1 species